rnacentral:rRNA from 1 species
ACGGAAGGCAGCAGUGAGGAAUAUUGGUCAAUGGACGGAAGUCUGAACCAGCCAAGUAGCGUGAGGGAUGACGGCCCUAUGGGUUGUAAACCUCUUUUGUGAGGGAAUAAAGUGCGCCACGUGUGGUGUAUUGCAUGUACCUUACGAAUAAGGAUCGGCUAACUCCGUGCCAGCAGCCGCGGUAAUACGGAGGAUCCGAGCGUUAUCCGGAUUUAUUGGGUUUAAAGGGAGCGUAGGCGGAAGGUCAAGUCAGCUGUGAAAUGUAGUCGCUCAACGUCUGCACUGCAGUUGAAACUGGCCUCCUUGAGUGCGUAAGAGGCAGGUGGAAUUCGUCGUGUAGCGGUGAAAUGCUUAGAUAUGACGAAGAACUCCGAUUGCGAAGGCAGCCUGCUGGGCCGCAACUGACGCUGAAGCUCGAAGGUGCGGGUAUCAAACAGGAUUAGAUACCCUGGUA